rnacentral:rRNA from 1 species
UUCCAGACUCCUACGGGAGGCAGCAGUGAGGAAUAUUGGUCAAUGGGCGCGAGCCUGAACCAGCCAAGUAGCGUGAAGGAUGACUGCCCUACGGGUUGUAAACUUCUUUUAUAAAGGAAUAAAGUGAGGCACGUGUGCCUUUUUGUAUGUACUUUAUGAAUAAGGAUCGGCUAACUCCGUGCCAGCAGCCGCGGUAAUACGGAGGAUCCGAGCGUUAUCCGGAUUUAUUGGGUUUAAAGGGAGCGUAGAUGGGUUGUUAAGUCAGUUGUGAAAGUUUGCGGCUCAACCGUAAAAUUGCAAUUGAUACUGGCAGUCUUGAGUACAGUUGAGGUAGGCGGAAUUCGUGGUGUAGCGGUGAAAUGCUUAGAUAUCACGAAGAACUCCGAUUGCGAAGGCAGCAUACCGGCGCCCGACUGACGCUGAGGCACGAAAGCGUGGGUAUCGAACAGGAUUAGAUCCCCUUGUA